CAAGUCGAACGGAAAGGCCCUGCUUGCAGGGUACUCGAGUGGCGAACGGGUGAGCAACACGUGGGUGAUCUGCCCUGCACUUCGGGAUAAGCUUGGGAAACUGGGUCUAAUACCGGAUAGGAACCAUCUUUAGUGUGGUGGUUGGAAAGUUUUUUCGGUGUAGGAUGAGCUCGCGGCCUAUCAGCUUGUUGGUGGGGUAAUGGCCUACCAAGGCGGCGACGGGUAGCCGGCCUGAGAGGGUGUACGGCCACAUUGGGACUGAGAUACGGCCCAGACUCCUACGGGAGGCAGCAGUGGGGAAUAUUGCACAAUGGGCGCAAGCCUGAUGCAGCGACGCCGCGUGGGGGAUGAAGGCCUUCGGGUUGUAAACUCCUUUCGCUAGGGACGAAGCUUUUUGUGACGGUACCUAGAUAAGAAGCACCGGCUAACUACGUGCCAGCAGCCGCGGUAAUACGUAGGGUGCGAGCGUUGUCCGGAAUUACUGGGCGUAAAGGGCUCGUAGGUGGUUUGUCGCGUCGUCUGUGAAAUUCUGGGGCUUAACUCCGGGCGUGCAGGCGAUACGGGCAUAACUUGAGUGCUGUAGGGGUAACUGGAAUUCCUGGUGUAGCGGUGAAAUGCGCAGAUAUCAGGAGGAACACCGAUGGCGAAGGCAGGUUACUGGGCAGUUACUGACGCUGAGGAGCGAAA
rnacentral:rRNA from 1 species